rnacentral:lncRNA from 1 species
GCGCAGGCGCCGAAGCCACACCGCGAAGUACCGUUUUUUCAGGCACAAGGAAGGUUUCACCCCGUUGCCGAAAGACUAAGCGUCCCGUUGGCCAGUGCAACGAAGAACGGAGGAAGCGACUGUGGUGGACGGUGGUGCCCCAAAACUUCACAACCACCUAGACAUUCGGAAGGUGACCUUAUUUGGAAUAAGAGAUUUUGCAGAUGUAAUUGAGUUAAAGAUCUGAAGAUGAAAUCAUCAUGAAUUUAGGGUAGGCCGUAAAUCCAAUGACUGACAUCCUUACAAGAAGACAAGAGGACACAGGCACCCGGGGGAAGAGGCCGUAGGAGACCCAGGCAGAGAUUCGGAGCGGUGCCCAUGCCAGGGAUCUCCAGGAGGAGCCAGAAGCUGGGAGAGGCCCUGCAGAUCCUCUCCCAGAGCCUUUGGAGGAGGCACAACCCUGUCCACACCUUGGUCUCCACUUUCUGGCCUCCAGAGCUGUAGGGGAACCCACUUCUGUGGUUUGAAGCCACCAAGUUCGUGGUGACUUAUGGCAGCCCUAGGAAAGUGACAUGCACAGGUAAACCACAUUCACUGCAGGAAAUAUACAAAUCAGCAAAAAGAAAAAAAGCACACAGGGGCACCACCCCCAGAGACAGCCAUGGCUGACAUCCUAGCGGCUGUCACCUCGGAGUGAUGUUCCUAAAAUGCAAACUUCUGAACUGCUUAAAACUCUUCCAG